GGGCCUAUAGCUCAGUUGGUUAGAGCAGAGGACUCAUAAUCCUUUGGUCGGCGGUUCGAGUCCGCCUGGGCCCACCA
rnacentral:tRNA from 1 species